ACAUAUUGUAGGUAGAGAUACGCUGUAUACUCGUGGAAAUCGAAUUAACGUGUAAGCGGUAUGUGCUACCGUCGAACCACUAGUCGCCUUUUCAGGGCGUUUUUUAUAU
ncrna:unclassified sequences DTF3800-I RNA